rnacentral:rRNA from 1 species
GACUACCGGGGUAUCUAAGCCCGUUCGCUCCCCUAGCUUUCGCAUCUCAGUGUCAGACACAGUCCAGAAAGGCGCCUUCGCCACUGGUGUUCCUCCCAAUAUCUACGCAUUUCACCGCUACACUGGGAAUUCCCCUUUCCUCUCCUGCACUCAAGACUGUCAGUUUCCAUCGCAAUACGGGGUUGAGCCCCGCAUUUUCACAACAGACUUAACAGCCCACCUACAUGCUCUUUACGCCCAAUAAUUCCGGACAACGCUUGCCACCUACGUAUUACCGCGGCUGCUGGCACGUAGUUAGCCGUGGCUUCCUCGUUCAGUACCGUCAAUACCUGCAACUAUUUGCAACAGGCACUUUCGUCCUAAACAACAGAGUUUUACAGUCCGAAAACCUUCAUCACUCACGCGGCGUUGCUCCGUCAGACUUUCGUCCAUUGCGGAAUAUUCCCCACUGCAGCCCCCCGUAGG